rnacentral:rRNA from 1 species
CGGCCGCGGGAUUCGAUUAGAGUUUGAUUAUGGCUCAGGACGAACGCUGGCGGCGUGCUUAACACAUGCAAGUCUACGAGAAUAAGGUAGCAAUAUCUUUAGUAAAGUGGCGCACGGGUGCGUAACACGUAAGCAAUCUACCUUUGGGUCUGGAAUAACUUCGAGAAAUCGAGGCUAAUACCGGAUAAUGCAGCGGCACCGCAUGGUGAUGUUGUUAAAGUUUAAGUAAUGCCUAUAGAUGAGCUUGCGCCUGAUUAGCUAGUUGGUAGGGUAAAGGCCUACCAAGGCAACGAUCAGUAGCUGGUCUGAGAGGAUGAUCAGCCACACUGGAACUGAGACACGGUCCAGACUCCUACGGGAGGCAGCAGUGAGGAAUAUUGGGCAAUGCCCGCAAGGGUGACCCAGCAACGCCGCGUGGAGGAUGAAGGCCGUAAGGUUGUAAACUCCUGUUAGAGGAGAAGAACAGUACCGAUUGGAUCGGUAUUUGACUGUACCCUCAGAGAAAGCCCCGGCUAACUACGUGCCAGCAGCCGCGGUAAUACGUAGGGGGCAAGCGUUGUCCGGAUUUACUGGGUGUAAAGGGCGCGCAGGCGGGAUAGCAAGUCAGAGGUGAAAUCCUACAGCUUAACUGUAGAACUGCCUUUGAUACUGUUAUUCUUGAGUUCGGGAGAGAGAGACGGAAUUCCAGGUGUAGUGGUGAAAUACGUAGNU